rnacentral:lncRNA from 1 species
GGCCAGGCAGCCGUUAGACAGCACAACCGAACCCAACACCGGGGCCCAACGGCAGGGGCUUGGGCAGGAGCAAGGUCCGAGGGCUGCCAGGUGCCAGAAGCCCAGGAAGCACACAUCAAGGCUCACUUGCCAGCAGGGUGCUGCCAAUAAAAUGUAGUCACGUGGAAUUUGGAAUGUGGAAAGGAGGUAGAAGUCAUCCUUUCCUUCCCCAUAGCAGCAGGCGUGCAGGCUCUGGUGGUCAGCUGGACUCCAU